rnacentral:rRNA from 1 species
CCUACGGGUGGCAGCAGUGGGGAAUAUUGGGCAAUGGGCGCAAGCCUGACCCAGCAACGCCGCGUGAAGGAAGAAGGCUUUCGGGUUGUACACUUCUUUUAAGAGGGAAGAGCAGAAGACGGUACCUCUUGAAUAAGCCACGGCUAACUACGUGCCAGCAGCCGCGGUAAUACGUAGGUGGCGAGCGUUAUCCGGAAUGAUUGGGCGUAAAGGGUGCGCAGGCGGUCCUGCAAGUCUGGAGUGAAACGCAUGAGCUCAACUCAUGCAUGGGCUUGGAAACUGGAGGACUGGAGAGCAGGAGAGGGCGGUGGAACUGCAUGUGUAGCAGUAAAAUGCGUAGAUAUAUGGAAGAAAACCCGUGGGGAAGGCGGGCGCCUGGGCUGUUGCUGACGCUGAGGCACGAAAGCGUGGGGAGCAAAUAGGAUUAGAUACCCCUGUAGUC